AUUGAACGCUGGCGGCAUGCUUUACACAUGCAAGUCGAACGGUAACAGGCCUUCGGGUGCUGACGAGUGGCGAACGGGUGAGUAAUGCAUCGGAACGUACCCAGAGGUGGGGGAUAACGCAGCGAAAGCUGUGCUAAUACCGCAUGUGAUCUGAGGAUGAAAGCGGGGGACCGAGCAGCAAUGUUUGGCCUCGCGCCUUUGGAGCGGCCGAUGUCGGAUUAGCUAGUUGGUGGGGUAAAGGCCUACCAAGGCGACGAUCCGUAGCUGGUCUGAGAGGACGACCAGCCACACUGGGACUGAGACACGGCCCAGACUCCUACGGGAGGCAGCAGUGGGGACUUUUGGACAAUGGGCGCAAGCCUGAUCCAGCAAUGCCGCGUGAGGGAAGAAGGCCUUCGGGUUGUAAACCGCUUUUGGCAGGAACGAAACGGUGUCCGCUAAUACCGGGCGCUAAUGACGGUACCUGCAGAAUAAGCACCGGCUAACUACGUG
rnacentral:rRNA from 1 species